rnacentral:lncRNA from 1 species
UAAAGGAAAAGCGCUGGAAAGGCCACAAGAAUGUUCUUUAAAGCGAUAUUCCAGUGCCACGUGAGGGGAGGAUGAAAUAGCCGUAAAAGAUGUAUUUCCUGGUUGAGGUAUUUUUUUCCCCUCUCGAGUGAAUUAGGCGCCGAACAAAGGCGUCACAUGAAUGCGCCGGGGUCAGAGGUUCUUGGGGGCCCUCCAGGUCUGUGUGGUCAGGUGAUGGCUCGGGGUGGGAGGGGGGGGGGGGCAAGUCAAGCUUCUGUAGGUAGACCUGGAGUGAGGAAAGCACACCUGUGAGAGGCGGAGAAAAUUCACUGGACCGGCAUUCCACUCCUGCAAGUCUUUAUCUGCAAAGGAAUCAGUGGUGGUGACUUAUCAGAGCACCAGCCCAUGCCUUCAAAGCAGAGUGGCAGACGGAACCCGAGUCACUUGCGAGACAAGGUUCAUAAUCAAACUGGACCAUUCAGAAAUUGACACGUUCAACUUUGGAGUAUUUCAUGUUAAUUUCUUAGAUUUCAGUGGCCUGUUUUUACUUUUCAAAGAAGGUUUUCAUCUAGCCCUCAUGUUAAUUCAGUGAGGUAACCAGGGUAGAUGGCCGGUUCCUCACUUUGCCUCUUUGGAAAAGGAUGGAGGCAAAGAGAGAUGGUUCUCUAGCUCAUCACUGGCAGGGGCAGAACGACAACCCAGGUCUCUUGACUCCUGGACCAGGUCUCUUUCCUCUGUGUUCUUGGGACCUGUACAAAGUGAUGAUGGGAGUUUCAGAAAAAAGGAAGGUGACAUUCUCCAUCUCCUCCCAGGCACAUAGAAAAGUGACUGUGACUUUGAAGCCACCGCUUUGCUGUGUCCAAACGCUCUCUCUGGGACUGGCCUUAGGGAGGAGAUUCAAAGUGAAACGUUCAGAGGGGAAGUCUCAUAUUCUAGUCUCUGCGGCUGCCCAUGCCUCUGGUGCUCUGCCCUUCCCCACCACAACUCCUGCAACUCCAUCCCUUGGCAGGCAUUGCUGUUAUUUGUGUGGAAGGUGUUGUUCCUGA